rnacentral:rRNA from 1 species
ACGGAAGGCAGCAGUGGGGGAUAUUGCACAAUGGGGGAAGCCCUGAUGCAGCGACGCCGCGUGAGUGAAGAAGUAUUUCGGUAUGUAAAGCUCUUUAAGCAGGGAAGAAGAUGACGGUACCUGCAGAAUAAGCCCCGGCUAACUACGUGCCAGCAGCCGCGGUAAUACGUAGGGGGCAAGCGUUAUCCGGAUUUACUGGGUGUAAAGGGAGCGUAGACGGCACAGCAAGUCUGAAGUGAAAUGUAGGGGCUUAACCCCUGAACUGCGUGGGAAACUGUUGGGCUGGAGUACCGGAGGGGCAGGCGGAAUUCCUGGUGUAGCGGUGAAGUGCGUAGAUAUCAGGAAGAAAACCGGUGGCGAAGGCGGCCUGCUGGACGGUAACUGACGUUGAGGAUCGAAAGCGUGGGGAGCAAACAGGAUUAGAGACCCUGGUA